UUCCUGAAUAGGAUUUUACAUUUUCCCUCAUAAGACUGGCUUCCCAGAGUUGACCGUUUUGGAAACUGUACACCUGGGUUCCUGUCCUUCCCUUGCCAAAGAAGCCCCGUGGACAUCAUUUUAAGCAUCAUUCCUGAAUAGGAUUUUACAUUUUCCCUCAUAAGACUGGCUUCCCAGAGUUGACCGUUUUGGAAACUGUACACCUGGGUUCCUGUCCUUCCCUUGCCAAAGAAGCCCCGUGGACAUCAUUUUAAGCA